ensembl:lncRNA
GCUCUGAGAUGGAAUAACAGCAAUCUUUCUAAGGUCCAGGAGUGUACAGAGCUGACCUGUUUUCCAGUGCUCAUUUCCUUCCCAACCCCUCGCUCUAACCUCCUCUUGUCUCGUUGGAUUUCAUUUGGUUUUGUUUCACUUUUCAGCACAGACCCUUCCUUGCUCGGCCCGUGCCUCAUCUGGACAGAAUUGCAGGCUUAUCCUCUCCCACCUGAUGGAUAAUUUCCUGCACGACACAUUGCAAGACAAUCUGGCUAAAAUUUCCAACAAGCCUCUAUGGAUUGGAACAGGAAGCAUGAAGCAGGAAAAUAGAAGAGUUGACCAUCAUUUAAACGGU